CUACGGGUGGCUGCAGUUAGGCAUAAUCUACAAUGCGCGCAAGCGUGAUAGUUUGAGCCAGAGUGCUUUUCAAACGAAAAGCUUUUGCCGAAUGUAAAAAGUUCGGCGAAUAAGGACUGGGUAAGACGAGUGCCAGCCGCCGCGGUAAUACUCGCGGUCCAAGUCGCAGCCAUUUUUAUUGGGUCUAAAACAUCCGUAGCUUGCUUAGUAAGUCCCUUGUGAAAUUCUAUAUCUUAAGUAUGGAGCGGGCAAGGGGUACUGCCAAGCUAGAGACUGGUAGACGUAACGAGUACGUUUGGAGUAGCGGUAAAAUGUGUUAAUCCCAGACGGACUAACAAUAGCGAAGGCAUGUUACGAGAACAGUUCUGACAGUAAGGGAUGAAGGCUAGGGGCGCAAAACGGAUUAGAUACCCCCGUAGUC
rnacentral:rRNA from 1 species